ensembl:lncRNA
GUAAAAUACUGAGGUAGCCAUUUUUCCAAUAGUUUCUUAUGAGAAACCAACUGCCUCGACGGAUAUAUUAUCGAAUACAUAUGUUAAAAACACCUUGAGGAUGGAUCCUAAACAACGUUUGCCGUGUUUCUGUCGAUAUUAUGGAGUUAAUUUUGAAAAAAGUUUGGCGUUGUAAUGGUAGCAUUUUCCGGUCGAUUUCUCAGCCAAGCAUGAUGAACAAACGGGAGCUAUUUCGCCUACAAAAAUAAUAUUUUUGGAAAAAAGGAACAUUUGCUAUCUAACUGGGAGUCUCCUGAGUGAAAGCAUCCGAAGUUCUUUAAAGUGGCAGGGACUGGGAGACUAGUCGGGAUUGACGGAAAGAUGAACGGAGCAAAGUACAGAGAGAUCCUAGAGGAAAACCUGUUCCAGAGCACUGAGGACCUCAGACUGGGACGAAGACGGUGUUCUCUAUCUUCAGACCAGUGGUUAUCCUAGCUCACCCACUUCAAUCAUCUUCUCGUAGUCUAUCAUCGUGGGGGAUGCAAACCCCAUGCUCAGACAGACAGACAGACCCCAGGUCUCGAGUCAAGGAAGGAUUGGACCAAAACGCAUCCUGCCGCACUUUGUGUCCUUCCCCUCACCCUGAUCUGGGCGCGAACCAGGGACGCUCUGCACACAGACAACAGUCACCCUCGAAGCAUCGUUACCCAUCACGCCACAAAAGCCACGGCCCUUGCAGAGCAAGGGGAACCACUACUUCAAGGUCAUCAUCGCCUGCUCUGACCACAUUGGUGAACCACCUGUUGUUAAAAUGUGGUGACGGAUGAAUUGAAAGACCUACAG